GACGAACGCUGGCGGCGUGCCUAAUACAUGCCAGUCGAACGCUUCUUUCCUCCCGAGUGCUUGCACUCAAUUGGAAAGAGGAGUGGCGGACGGGUGAGUAACACGUGGGUAACCUACCCAUCAGAGGGGGAUAACACUUGGAAACAGGUGCUAAUACCGCAUAACAGUUUAUGCCGCAUGGCAUAAGAGUGAAAGGCGCUUUCGGGUGUCGCUGAUGGCUGGACCCGCGGUGCAUUAGCUAGUUGGUGAGGUAACGGCUCACCAAGGCCACGAUGCAUAGCCGACCUGAGAGGGUGAUCGGCCACACUGGGACUGAGACACGGCCCAGACUCCUACGGGAGGCAGCAGUAGGGAAUCUUCGGCAAUGGACGAAAGUCUGACCGAGCAACGCCGCGUGAGUGAAGAAGGUUUUCGGAUCGUAAAACUCUGUUGUUAGAGAAGAACAAGGACGUUAGUAACUGAACGUCCCCUGACGGUAUCUAGCCAGAAAGCCACGGCUAACUACGUG
rnacentral:rRNA from 1 species